GGGGACCAUCAGCUGCUCCCUGGGUUUUGCUGGUUUUUCUGCCUGGGCUUUAGGAAACCAGCUCAUCUGGGGCAGGCAAACCUGCCAGUGUGAAAUGCGAGGCUCCAGAGGAACAGGCAAAACCAGAUCUGCUGGUCUGGGGUGGGAUGGAAAGGGAAAAAGCUGAGGGUUGGCACGGAGGCAGCACCCAUGGAGGCAGCACCCACGGCAGGAGCUGCACAGGUGCUGGGUGGCUCCCCCAGACAGGGCUUGCAGAGCCCACCCCAUCUCUUGGAAACCAGCAGGGUUGGUCCCCAGGGACAGAGGUCCCCUGUGUUCCCCAGGUGUGACUGUCUCGUGCCCCUUGGUGAAAUGUCGACAAUCCUGAAAUGGUUUGGACGGGAGGAUAAGGAGAAAGAGGAGGACAGGAAAGAGAAGGAAGAGAAGGAGAAGGAAAAGACUGAGGGAGAAAAGGAGAAGGAGAAGCAGAAGAGGAGGAAGAAGGAAGAAGAAAAGGUAGGGGAAUGA
rnacentral:lncRNA from 1 species